UACGUAGGGGGCAAGCGUUGUCCGGAUUUACUGGGCGUAAAGAGCGUGUAGGCGGCCACGCAGGUCCGUUGUGAAAACUGGAGGCUCAACCUCCAGACGUCGACGGAAACCGUAUGGCUAGAGUCCGGAAGAGGAGAGUGGAAUUCCUGGUGUAGCGGUGAAAUGCGCAGAUAUCAGGAAGAACACCAACGGCGAAGGCAGCUCGCUGGGACGGUACUGACGCUGAGACGCGAAAGCGUGGGGAGCGAACAGG
rnacentral:rRNA from 1 species